rnacentral:rRNA from 1 species
GGCCAGACUCCUACGGGAGGCAGCAGUGGGGGAUAUUGCACAAUGGGGGAAACCCUGAUGCAGCGACGCCGCGUGGGUGAAGAAGCGCCUCGGCGCGUAAAGCCCUGUCAGCAGGGAAGAAAAUGACGGUACCUGAAGAAGAAGCCCCGGCUAACUACGUGCCAGCAGCCGCGGUAAUACGUAGGGGGCAAGCGUUAUCCGGAUUUACUGGGUGUAAAGGGGGCGCAGACGGCGAUGCAAGCCAGGAGUGAAGGCCCGGGGCCCAACCCCGGGACUGCUCUUGGAACUGCGUGGCUGGAGUGCAGGAGGGGCAGGCGGAAUUCCUGGUGUAGCGGUGAAAUGCGUAGAUAUCAGGAGGAACACCGGUGGCGAAGGCGGCCUGCUGGACUGCAACUGACGUUGAGGCCCGAAAGCGUGGGGAGCGAACAGGAUUAGAUACCCCAGUA